GGUGAUGUGAAGGUGAUUGAGUGAGGCAUUUGACACCCCAUUGGCUAAUAGGGUUGAUGCAACUGAUCCGACUGGCUACGUAGGCGUCUUCUUCCUCUAUCAUCCCUCCAUAUUCAUCUUGGUCCAAAUCUGUACACUCAGUUCAAGAGGAAGACCUUCCCAGAUAAAGGAGGAAGGUCAAGGGUAUAUACCAGGAGAUGCACACCCCAGCUAGAACUGCUAGAUAAGCUCUCAAGGUCCAACAGUUUCUGGGAGUUCAGGAAGCUAAAUGUGUGGGGGUGAAUUCCCACCCCUUCCUCUACAGGGAUUUUUUUUUAAAAGGCUUAUUUAUUAUGU
rnacentral:snRNA from 1 species